GACGAACGCUGGCGGCGUGCCUAAUACAUGCAAGUCGAACGCAUUUUCUUUCACCGUAGCUUGCUACACCGAAAGAAAAUGAGUGGCGAACGGGUGAGUAACACGUGGGUAACCUGCCCAUCAGCGGGGGAUAACACUUGGAAACAGGUGCUAAUACCGCAUAAUUCCAUUUACUGCAUGGUAGAUGGAUGAAAGGCGCUUUUGCGUCACUGAUGGAUGGACCCGCGGUGCAUUAGCUAGUUGGUGGGGUAACGGCCUACCAAGGCUGCGAUGCAUAGCCGACCUGAGAGGGUGAUCGGCCACACUGGGACUGAGACACGGCCCAGACUCCUACGGGAGGCAGCAGUAGGGAUUCUUCGGCAAUGGACGCAAGUCUGACCGAGCAACGCCGCGUGAGUGAAGAAGGUUUUCGGAUCGUAAAACUCUGUUGUUAGAAAAGAACAAGGAUGAGAGUGGAAAGUUCAUCCCUUGACGGUAUCUAACCAGAAAGCCACGGCUAACUACGUG
rnacentral:rRNA from 1 species